GCCGUUUCAUUAAUGGUUGCAGUGCAGUUGCAGUUGCAGUUGCAAGUUGCAAGUUUUUCACAUCGAUUUGCAACUCUCGAUUAAGUGCGUUUCAUAAAUGCGGUUGCAACUUUCAAUAGGUUAAACGCCACUUAUUCCGAAAAUCGUGACGUCAUUUACGCGCAAAACUGUCAGACGAACUGUAAACAAAAAUGGCGUCGAGAAGUUGCAACUGGACACGGGAAGAGAACGACGUCCUAGUUGACGGUUAUGUCAUGUAUCGUGACAUUCUAUUCGGAAAAUUCUCCAAUAAAAGUUACUAAUGAAGAGAAGGAGAAGAAGUUUUCCGCUGUUUUAGAAUCGAUUAAUGCGGUCGGAGGUAACGGAAGGUCCAUGGAGGAAAUGAAGAAUAAAUGAAAAGAUCUGAAGUGUUGGACUGUAGCGAAGGCGAGAAAACACCGAAAGGAACAAAGGCAAACGGGAGGUGGGGAUGCAGUUCCGGGACUGACUGCUGUUCAAGAAAAGGUACUCUCUUGUGUCCCCGACAAUAUCCUUAAUGGACUAGAGGAAAUGACACUGGUCCAAUUGAAACUUCUGAAAAUGAAAGAAACAGUGCAACCGUGUCAUCACUAGUGCAAGAUGAAGAGGAUAUUGUAUACACCCCUUUAAGAAAGAAGAAGAAAACCAAUGCAGAAGAGUGCCAGUGUUCAGCUGAACUGUUGAAUGUCCAGCGGCAGCUUCUUGCUGAAUAUACAAGGAGCAACGAGUUGAACGUGCAGCGGAAUGAGUUUCUUGACAAAAUCAGCACAAGUUUGUCAAUUAUUGCCAGUAAACAUUAUGCAGACAAUUUUGUUUUUGAAAUGUAACUGUUGUUAAUAUGUGUGUGCCUGUCAAAUCAAUGCUUAACUAUUCAAUUUAUGUUAAAGAUUUGAUUUUAUGAAAAUAUCAUUAAAUUUCUUUAACAGAGUAAUUGUCUA